UACAGAGGUCCCAAGCAUUGUUCGGAUUCAUUGGGCGUAAAGGGUGCGUAGGUGGCGCUGUAAGUCGGGUGUGAAAUUUCGGAGCUUAACUCCGAAACUGCAUUCGAUACUGCGGUGCUCGAGGACUGGAGAGGAGACUGGAAUUCAUGGUGUAGCAGUGAAAUGCGUAGAGAUCAUGAGGAAGACCAGUGGCGAAGGCGGGUCUCUGGACAGUUCCUGACACUGAGGCACGAAGGCCAGGGGAGCAAACGGG
rnacentral:rRNA from 1 species